rnacentral:rRNA from 1 species
GACGAACGCUGGCGGCGUGCUUAACACAUGCAAGUCGAACGGAAAGGUCCUGCUUUUGUGGGGUGCUCGAGUGGCGAACGGGUGAGUAACACGUGAGUAACCUGCCCUUGACUUUGGGAUAACUUCAGGAAACUGGGGCUAAUAUCGGAUAGGAUCUCCUGCUGCAUGGUGGGGGUUGGAAAGUUUCGGCGGUUGGGGAUGGACUCGCGGCUUAUCAGCUUGUUGGUGGGGUAGUGGCUUACCAAGGCUUUGACGGGUAGCCGGCCUGAGAGGGUGACCGGCCACAUUGGUACUGAGAGACGGCCCAGACGCCUACGGGAGGCAGCAGGGGGGAACAUUGCACAAUGGGCGGAAGCCUGAUGCAGCAACGCCGCGUGCGGGAUGACGGCCUUCGGGUUGUAAACCGCUUUCGCCUGUGACGAAGCGUGAGUGACGGUAAUGAGUAAAGAAGCACCGGCUAACUACGUG